rnacentral:misc_RNA from 1 species
CGCUGUCGUUCCCUCUCCCCAUCUCGUGUGUCCGUGGGCAUGCAUGAGCGUGCCGUGCUGAGUGGUCGCCCACACAUGCAUGUCUCCCCUCCCCUGUCUUUGCUCUCUCCCUCUCUGCUGCUGAUGACGUGGCUGGCACGUCAUCGAUUCACCCCUGCACACCGGGUCCCCUCCAUCCGCAUCCCCAAGCGUCGACAGCGCGUGCCUGAGUGUGGUGCCGCUGGCAGGCUGCCCUCAUCUUUCCGUCGGCUUGUUGGUGAAUGAGCGGCGUUCAUGUAGUCUAUGAAAGAGCGCAGCUGCGCGCCAACGCUCUCCCUCGCCCCGCGGCUCCCCUCCCUUUGGGAGGAACCCCCCGUCACCGCCGCCGCCGCUGCAGCAGCGUCAGCGCCUCUGCAACAACCGUCGCCGGAGCAAACCCACACCGCGCACGACGGGCAGGACCCUCCUGCCAUCUUCAGCGGCAAGUUUGCGGUAGACCCCGCCGCUCCCCUCGGCACCGCCACAGCCGCGGCAACAGCAGGCGGAGGUUGCGGUGUAGUCAACGUUUGAGCAGUCGCAUGUCACCGCGAAGUUACGUGUGCCCAUGGACUCGCACGCGUCACUGACCUCCCUUGCGAUGGCCUUCCACACGGCCGUUGACGAACAGCAACGGCCUUCAAACAAAACCUCGCUCCCCAGCAGCUGUGCGUGGCCUGAUGCAGGUGGUCACUUCAGCGAUCACGCGUACCGCGGCGCCCAACACCGGGCGUCGUCGUUGUCCCUGAGUAAUGAAGGCGCCACAGACAGGACAGCUACGAGCAGCGCCGUCGAUGGCGCAAGUCGGCCUGCUCCUGCAACAGCCGCAGCCGUUGUUGGGGCACCCUCGCAGCGACGCGCCCUCUCACCGCUCAGCUGUCCUGUGCAUCACCGGUCUCACUCGUCCACCUCGUCGAGGCACGACUUGGGCAGCGUCGUCGAGGAGUUUCUGCAGAAGGCGACGUACGACGCAGAUGUGCCGCCGGGCCUCCUACGAUUCCUGCAAAUACAGCGAAACCACCAGCUGCAACAGCAGCAGGCUCAGCAGUACAGCCAGCUGCACCCACGGGCGCACUCGCCGUCGGUGCCGACCCCCUCCGUGAACUCGGUACGAAAUGGCGUCCAGAGAACGCCACCUCCGCAGUCGUGGGCAGUGCCCUCGCGCGGGCUCGACUCUGCAACGUCCCGCAAGGCGGCGACGGCGCCGAUGGCAGCGAACAGUAACGACAACGACGCCCUCUUCCAUGACUACAGCAGCAGCGGCACCGUUGGCAGACAGUUCUGCUGGCUAACCGAGGCAGCCCCCCCAGAGAGCCCGAGCAGCGUAGCGGAGGAAGACGAGAAAAAGGGCAAGGCUCUCACCGCCAGCGGUGGUGGUGGCAGCAGCAGCAGCCGCGCGCAUGCGCGGCCAAGGCCAACGACGGCGACGGCCACAGUGAAGCAGCUGGAGGAGCACAUUUUUCAGCGUUGUCGCGACAGCAGCCAUGCGAUGGCCGCACCGCGGGGAAACUCUCAAGACGCAACGGAACGCUAUAGCCUCUCCGCAUCGGCCCUGCAGCGUCGCUACCGUACCAUCACAGACUUCUGUCAGGGCGUUCGCGGCGGGGAUGGCCGCGGCGAUGGCACCACUGCCUGCUUCAACUCAGCCGCCUCGCUGACAAGACUGCAACGCGCGUACCAGCCGCUGUCUAGCACCGCUGCCGUUAGCGGCUCCCACUCCCCGGCCUCUUCUGGCUUUCUCGGCAGCCGGCCAUGUUCGCAGCCGGAGGGCGUGCCGCGGGUGUCCGCCGCUCCCGUUUACGAGGCGGCUGGGGUGCAGCCGUGGGGGCCGCCUCAGCCUCCGCACAGCGCACCAAAUCGUGGCGCUGAUAGCGCCGGUGCCGGUGCCGCCGAGGCGGCGGCGGCGGCGGCGGCGGUAGCGGCUUGCGGGGGUGGCGACACGGAUGCCACGUAUCAGCCAGCAUCGUCCGCCUCCCUCAUCCCCUCCCCUCCCUCGCUGAUGCCGUCAGUUCUGCGAGGCAUCACCACCUCAGCGAGCGCGCGCUUCACCGUCUCCGGCGCGCGGCGGCCGCCACACGUGGUGGAUGACGAGGAUUGGAAGAGUCGCUCCUGCGCGCCGCCAGCGCCGCUGCUUCAGCUCUCGUUGGCCGCGCCUCGCGCGUCCUCGCGACUGUCGGUGUCGGCGCGCCUCUUCAGCGGUGCCGCGACGGCAAACACCACGAUCCUCAGCAGCGCCAGCAUCACCGACGUCUCCUGCGCGAACUUGCCAUCUUCUGUAGCUGCUACGUGCGGCAUGUUGGCGCCGACACCACCCAGUGCAGACUGGGAGUCGUUCGGCAGCCUUGGGAUGUCGAGCGUGCAGCAGCACCAUUACUAUCCCCACCACCACCACCACCACCAUCAGCCGCGCUUCCGCCGAGCCCGAGCCGGAGGCGCGAGCAAUCAUAGCAGCAGUGUCGUCAAGCCGACGGGGGCUGAGGCGGCGGCGGCAGCGGCGGCGGCUGUCGGCCUCAUUGACGUCAUCACCGCUGGGAGCGCAUCGGGUCGGAUGUCUUCGUAUGGGGAGAUGGAGCCGUCGCUGACGGCCGGCGUGACGUGGAUCGGUCAAAUCUCCUCGCACGCCGCGUCGGUCACCUCGCCCACCACAGGCACGUUCACCAGCACCACCAACUACUGCUGCAGUGGCGCGAGUAACUCGAUGACGGUUUGAGUGACCCGAAAAGGGAGAGAGGGGUACCGAUCCCUCUCGCAGUCGCUCUCGUCACGCUGUCGACGUCCCCCUGACGGUCAUCGUCGCCUCCAACACAGCGCCUGUGCCGAGCCAAGGGUGAGAAAUGACCGGUGCACUCCACCGCACUGUCGCCAUUCGCGCAUCGGAUGAGCGGGUUGCAGUGUUCUCUGUUGUCGGCAUCUCCGCCGGUGACGUAACAAGCACCUGCCGUAGUGCCAUCUCAGCCGCAGCACGAGCACCUUUGCGGGAAGUCUUUGGAGUGGCACCGACACCGGCGCCGUGACACCCACCCCUGCACCCGCCAGAGAAACUGCACGUGGUCGGCAUUGCUGGUUGCAAUAACAGCGGCAGGCUGGAGCCUGCCACACCACCACCACCGCUUGCGGCGGCAGCGCCCACGCACCUCUCCAGCGCAGCCGCGUCGGUCGCCAGCGCAUGAUCAUGCCGAGUCUUCCAGCGCCGGGUAUGUAGGCGUGGAUGGGGAGGAGCGGCAAUGCCCACUGAUGACGGCAGAACUGACGGAGCAGAUCGAGGGACAAGGCGAGCCGCCUCGUUCUCGUUCUUUCUCGGCGACUCAACGUGGUGUGUGUGUGUGUGUGUGUGUUUAUAUGUGUGUGUGUUUAUAUGUGUGUGUGUGAGGGUGCCCGACGCCACCCCCCCCUUGCCCACCAUCCCAUCCACUUUCUCCCGCAUCGUUAGCCAUGGACGCGAUGUCAUCUCCGUAUUAUCGAUUGUGUGUACGUGUGUCGGUUCUGCUCGUGCGGUCCUCACCCACCCACCCGUUCCUUUCGCCUUAAGCGUGUUUCCAUGUAUAUCUGUAUAUUCAGCGUGCAUGUCUGUGCGCAUGUGUGUGUGUGUGUUGCUGGUUUAUUCGGUCGAUGCGCGCCCGCGUGCGUGUCUGUGUCCUCGAUGUUUCGUCUUCCUCACUCUCCUCCCCUCCCCUCCUCUCCUCUCCUCUCUUCGUGCUCCAGCCUUAUUCGUGUCGUGCACACUAUACAAGGGCACGUACAGACGAAGCGAAAAGAAGGCUGCGCGGCAUCGCCUAUGCGCGCGUCUGUCUGUGUCUGCGUGCGCGUGUGUGGGGGGAGGGGGGAGGGUCUGCGCGUGUGCAUGUGUAUACGCACGUGCUCCUGUGUUGUUGCUGGUGCUGCUUCUGCUUUCAACGAUUCUUUCAUGGUUUCACCCGUUCCCUCCUCCCCUCCACCUCCACCUCGUCGCCCUCUCGUCUUCCUCCAUCAUGGAGAGCAAGGAGGUGGUGGUGGUGGUGGUGGUGGUGGAUGAAGGGAGGCGGCGUUCUGCUGCCCGUGCGCACGGCCAGUGGGCGGAUUGGCUUGUUGGAUGUCUCGCUCCCCACCCUGCGUGUGUGUGGGUGUGUGUUCAUGCGAGAGAGGGGGAGAGAUGCACCCAUCAACGUCCCCUCAAGGUGUGUGGGCCAUAGCACCACGUUCCCACUCGAUGUAUGGGAUUAUGUGCAUAUGUGUGGUGUGUGUAUGUGUGUGUGUGUGCGCGCGCGCUGUGCACGCAUGUAGAGGAGUGCAGUCGUGCCGAACGGCUUUCCUAAGCGCUAUCUUCCUUUUUUUUCCCUUUCCCCUUGCUCUCUACUGGAUGCGGCUCCUUUCCUCCGUGACUUGUGUCGUGAGGGAUCUCGUUGCGUCAGUGACUGCAUAGCCCUCUUGUUUUGCUGUGUGCGCACGCAUGCGUGUGUGUGUGUGUGUGUGUGUGUCGAUGUCCAGUCUCUCCUUUCUUUAUCAUCUCCUCAUUCCCUCCUCCUCUUCUCUCCUUUUUCGGCGUGCGCGUGUUGCUUUUCUUUCCGUGCUGCCACCACCCCUCUCCCCGCUGCGGCGGAUCUCGUACCCUUCAUGCACCUCAUGCGUGCAUUUGUGCGUGUGUGGGGAGGCGAGCUGGAUGCGAGUAGUCGCCUUCGUUGUUCUCUGUCUUACUUUUCCUGCCUUUCUCCCGCGUACCCUUCAUUGAACCCGGCACGCAUGCGUGUGUGUGUGUGUGUGUGUGUGUGUGUGUCGGCGUACUCCGUUCUCCUCUUUCGGUUGUUUACUGCACCUGCGUUGCCUUUUUGGUUGUGUUUUUCUUUGUCGCGUCUGUGGCGUCCGUGUGCGUGUGUGUAGGGAAACGGUGGGGGCGGGUAGGGGAGGUGGGGUUCCGUGCAUGCAUGCAGCCACGCCGACCUUGGCGAAGCCCUCACGCCGCGCGGGAGGCGGCCACCUCCCCCACCCCACCACCACCACCACCGCCUGGAAGCACCCGGCGCAUAUCGAGAAGUCACGGGAAAGAGGCGAACGACCAGAUUGCCAACAGACGAGUGCACGCGUUAGGGAGGCCAGCACACCGUACCUGCGUAGAUACUCACUCACACCCUCUCGCUCCCCGCUCCUGCUCUUGUCUUGUGUAGUCGCGCAGAUGGAUGGAUGGGAGGGGGAGGGGAGGGCAGCAGCCGCCGUCCCCCUACUGAGCGUCCCGCUUUUCUCCCUUGCGACCUCGUUCUGCGUACUUCCCUGCUGUUUCCGCACGCGGAUACACGUCUGCGCGCGUGUCCGAAUCGAACGGGUGCGCGCAUCUCCGUGUGUUUUAUGUAACCUACAGGAGAACAGGGAGGGGAAAGGUGGAGAGAGAGCGCACCUGCGUGCGCGGUAUACAGGGUCCAGCACCCCAACUCCGUGGGGAGGUGAGGGCGACGUAUCGCUGCUGCUGUCGGCGGUUAGGUCAUGAGCGGUGUUUUCUUCGGGGUGACCUUCGAUAGUCAGCACAU